ensembl:lncRNA
UAAAACAAUCAAAGCACAAAAACUAAACAUCAGAAGCUAAAAAAACUAUCCUUCAUAUACUUUUUACAUACAGUAGAUUGUAUAUAAAAUUGAAAUAUGUGUUAAUUUGCAGACAAACAAACAAACAUAAAACACUACAUUUUCCAAACUGCUUGUGCUAUGUGAGUUGCAGGGAUUCUGGAGACGAUCCCAGUGUUUCAGGCCAUAAGCAAGCAAAGACCCUGGACACAGAGCCAGUCCAUCACAGGAUACAUUACAUUACAGAGAGGAAGCCGGCUUUCUUUCUCUUCACGACCUGCUCUGCUUUAGCUAAUUUUCUUCCAUGCAGGCCAAAAAUGUUUUCAGAGUAAUUUAAUGUCUAUCAAAUCAUUCCACAAGAUCCUCCUUAUUCUUUUCUUCCUUCUUCAGAAGUCCACUGGAGGAACGUGGCAGUUUCAGCAGCUGUUACUUCCAUCAGGACCAACACAAACUACUGAAAACAAAUUGAAAACAACACAAACUGUUUUUGUUGUUUUCAGGGGUCAAGAAUAUACAUACACACCUUAAAAUAAAUAUAUAAAAACUGUUUAUUCAUUUAUUUUAUGAUGAGAGAAAAAUAAAAAAUAUGUGCAGCAGUCAAAUGGCAUUAAUGAUUAAAAAUCACUAUAUAAAUAUUGCCAUAUAAAUAUAAAUCAAUAUCAAUCUUGCUAAACUUCUUUUCAGCCUCUCCAUGUUUCUUGUUUACAAAAAUUAAAG